rnacentral:rRNA from 1 species
UGGGGAAUAUUGGACAAUGGGCGAAAGCCUGAUCCAGCCAUGCCUCGUGUGUGAAGAAGGUCUUCGGAUUGUAAAGCACUUUAAGUUGGGAGGAAGGGCAUUAACCUAAUACGUUAGUGUUUUGACGUUACCGACAGAAUAAGCACCGGCUAACUCUGUGCCAGCAGCCGCGGUAAUACAGAGGGUGCAAGCGUUAAUCGGAAUUACUGGGCGUAAAGCGCGCGUAGGUGGUUUGUUAAGUUGGAUGUGAAAUCCCCGGGCUCAACCUGGGAACUGCAUUCAAAACUGACUGACUAGAGUAUGGUAGAGGGUGGUGGAAUUUCCUGUGUAGCGGUGAAAUGCGUAGAUAUAGGAAGGAACACCAGUGGCGAAGGCGACCACCUGGACUAAUACUGACACUGAGGUGCGAAAGCGUGGGGAGCAAACA